AAGAAAGCGAAUCAGGGUUAGGUUUAAAGAGUCAUCGGUUCCGCGUACGGCCGGAAAGGAGCCAGUACCGGAGCGACCGUAGACUCGAGUUUGAUAAAAGUGUAUACGUACGAGAAACGGAGGUCUGUACCGUGGAAGUUUAAGGUACCGGAAUAAAGGGCCCAGUCUCGUUCGAAUACGUAUAACUCGAGCAACGGUCCGGGACAUGCAGAGUUUU
rnacentral:rRNA from 1 species